rnacentral:lncRNA from 1 species
CAGGGAGAGAACCAGUGGACAGACAGGGGCCAGUUGUCUCUCAGGUCCCAGAAAUAAGACAGCAGGGUUGCAAUGUCAUCCUCCACACUAAUCAUCUCCAAAAAACUGAAAUGCGUGCUGAUUAAAAUCAUGAACUGUUGGAGAAAACAUGUAAGAACAAAUUCUCAAAAUUUGCUUUACUCAGGCAUAAAGACCAUAAAAUAAACAAAUAAAACUUGCAACAUUCAACACACAUAUAUGUGUAUUAUUCCAAGAUAAAUAUGCAUAUGCAAUAGGUGUUUGGUGAAUGGUGUUUUUCUAAACCCAGACUUAAAUGGUCAAAAAUUCUGAAGAGCAUUGUCCUAAGGAAAUGAGGAAAGAUAAACUGAACGCUUUGAGCAAAGAAGCAAUAGGAUCAAAACAGUGGUAUAUGGAGAUUGGUUCAGUAUCAAUGUGAAAACUUAUUUCAAGUACUUAGAAUGAUUCAAUCUUUACAAAUCUUACUCUUUAUACCAUACCUAGCUGCCCCAGGCUUUAUUGCUUCUAUUGCUGCAAAAUAAUGAUUCUGUAUUAAGUAAUUUUAGGAUCAUUUUAAAGGGUGAAUAAUUUGGAAUGUCAUUUCAUUAGAACAAGUAUCAAGUACUAAUUUUUUUUUCCUUUAAGCAGAAGUUAGAGAUCAGACUCUGAAAGCUCCAGAGGGUAAUCGGGCACUUGCUUGUGGAGUAAACAACCAAAAUACACGGUGGUCUUCAUUCCAGGAUGUUCAAAAGAACUGGUAUAAAUCCUGAACUGAGCUAACCAUGAACCUCAAUCCUGUAAGAGAUGGAGAGGCCAAGAGUAAGUUUUGGAGGAAGAUGGCCUGGAGAUGCAUGGUGUGCACCUGCUAACCCCAUGGAAAGUCAGUGGGUUCCCAAGGAAGAGAGAAACUGGAAGAGAAUAUGGCAUUGCUUAUGGCAAUUCUGGGGAUCAUUGCAGAAGCUCCUCAAUAGCACCUCAAGAAAAAGAGGCAGCAUUGAUCACCACCGAACCAGAAAGGACCUGCUGGCAAAAACAUUGGUCAAAGCCUCUGUUGAUGCCUGGCUUUGCUCAUGUACUUGUCUUUCUACCACCUCCACCUUCACAUCUUCCUGGAGUAUAAAUUUAAUCAAUCACUGUGUCGAUGAGUGAUGGAAGCAGAUAUUGCCAGAUGGAAGGAUAAAGGAGAAGCUGAUCCCACUCCACACUCCCCCUGGACUUGCCUACUCAGAAGAGCUCCUAAGAAAGGGUGAUGGAGUGAAGCUUCUAUUCGGUUCAAAGCUAUUUAAUUGAGAAAUAAAAAGUGUAUAUAUUCAAAAUGUACA